AUUAAUUAAGAGUACUUCAAGCACACUCUCUGGAUGUGGCAACCUAGCAAGUCUGGAGCCCUGUAAAAUUUAGAAGAGAUGGAUACCUAAUUAUAACUUAUUUUUUGAAGUUUGAAAUUCUUAUAUGCAGAACAAAUAAAAUAAAUUUAAACCAAAGAAGCCUAUGAGAGCUAGUAAUAUCUUAGAUGUAUAAAGCCAAUCCGGCUGUCCUGUACCUCACGGCAAUGAUAAUUUGG
rnacentral:misc_RNA from 1 species